rnacentral:lncRNA from 1 species
ACCUAGUUCCUUAGUCAAACUUACUUUCUUUCCAAAAAAAAAAAUCUCUACAUUGGCACCUCAUAAUCUACUUAGAAAAUUAGAUACUUAAUCAUAAAACUUAAAAAGUAAAACAAAUUAAUUUACUCUUGACUAACAACCAAAUAUGGUCAUCUUUUCUUCUUGCAUUAUAUAAUUCUAUAAAACAUCUUAAGAGCACAAACCCUAAACAAGAUAAGGUGGAGAUUUCAUCACCCUUCUUUGGCCCAC